rnacentral:rRNA from 1 species
UACGGAGGGUGCGAGCGUUGUCCGGAAUCAUUGGGCGUAAAGGGCGCGUAGGCGGCCGAUCAAGUCAGGCGUGAAAUUCCCGGGCUCAACCUGGGGGCUGCGCUUGAGACUGGUUGGCUAGAGGCCGAGAGAGGGUGGUGGAAUUCCCAGUGUAGAGGUGAAAUUCGUAGAUAUUGGGAAGAACACCGGUGGCGAAGGCGGCCACCUGGCUCGGUACUGACGCUGAGGCGCGACAGCGUGGGGAGCAAACAGG